AGGAAGCACAGAUCAGCAUGCCUACAAACAACAGCUGAGAGAGGGUGUGCACAACUUCUUUGUAACAUUCAUUGAAGUGCUUCGUGAGAGACCACCUGGUCAUGAUUGGGAGCUUGAACCUAGUGUUACCUGUGGUGACUAUCUGUUUGGAUUGCUUCAAGUUAGUUUACAAUAAGAGCUACUAAUAUUUACCUUUAAGAAGAUUCUAGCAAUAGUCGAAGUUCUUAUGUCUAUUGUUUCUGAAGUUUAAGAUCUCAGACUUCUCUUGGAAAGGAGACUUGAGUUCAGUGGAUGAUUUACUUAUAGUCACUGAGGCCAGGUAUCUUACUAGAACAAGCUUGUCUAAGAUGGAAACUAUCAGCUCUUAAGGAACGGGGAACACUUAAAGAAACUGUUGAGUGGGGUGGUAGAAACAUGGAUAAGAAGAAAAGCAAGCUCGUAGGCAUUGCAGAUGAUGGACAGAAAGAGAUCCGCAUUGAAAGGACAGAUGAAUUUGGCCGAAUAUUAACCCCAAAGGAAGCUUUCCGAUUGCUUUCCCAUAAAUUUCAUGGAAAAUGGCCUGGCAAAAUGAAGCAAGAGAAAAGCAUGAAGCAAUACCAGGAAGAAUUGAAGUUGAAGCAGAU